GGAAGGAUCAUUACCGAGCGUGGGUCCCCUGCACCCCCCACCCCUUCCCGGGGGUUGGGGGGGGCCGCGGGGUUGACCCUAGACCUCCCACCCUUGUCGAUCGUACCGUGUUGCUUCGGCGGGCCCGCCAUUGGCCGCCGGGGGGCUCGCGACUCGUGAGCGUUGUCCCCGGGCCCGUGCCCGCCGGAGACCUCCCUCGAAAUGCUACUGUGGUCAGGAAUGCUGUCUGAGUGGGAAUGAUGUGAGAAAUUGAUCAGUCAAAACUUUCAACAAUGGAUCUCUUGGUUCCGGCAUCGAUGAAGAACGCAGCGAAAUGCGAUAAGUAAUGCGAAUUGCAGAAUUCCGUGAGUCAUCGAAUCUUUGAACGCACAUUGCGCCCCCCGGCUUCCCGGGGGGCAUGCCUGUCCGAGCGUCAUUGCCAUCCCCUCAAGCUCCGCUUGGCUGGUUGGGCCGGCGUCCCCCCCACGGCUCUGUGCCGGGCGGGGGGGACGGGCCCGAAAGGUAGUGGCGGCUCCCGGAGAGGAUGGGUCCCUUGGGGCGGUGAUACAUGGGUUGUCAUCCUUUGCCGCUCCCUUGGCCACGCUCCGGAGGCCCGUCGAACGAUUGGUCUUCUCCUUUAGGUUGACCUCGGAUCAGGUAGGGAUACCCGCUGAACUUAAGCAUAUCAAUAAGCGGAGGAAAAGAAACCAACCGGGAUUGCCUCAGUAACGGCGAGUGAAGCGGCAAGAGCUCAAAUUUGAAAUCUGGCCCCUCCCGGGGGUCCGAGUUGUAAUUUGGAGAGGAUGCUUCGGGUUCGGUCCCGGUCCAAGUGCUCUGGGACGGGCCGUCGGAGAGGGUGAGAAUCCCGUCUGCGACCGGUGACUGGGCCUAGGUGAAAGCUCCCUCGACGAGUCGAGUUGUUUGGGAAUGCAGCUCUAAAUGGGUGGUAAAUUUCAUCUAAAGCUAAAUAUGGGCCGGAGACCGAUAGCGCACAAGUAGAGUGAUCGAAAGAUGAAAAGCACUUUGGAAAGAGAGUCAAACAGCACGUGAAAUUGUUGAAAGGGAAGCGCUUGCGAUCAGACUCGCCCGGGGAGGUUCAGCCGGCACUUGUGCCGGUGCAUAUUCCUACCCGGGCGGGCCAGCGUCGGUUUGGACGGCCUGUCAAAGGCCGCCGGAAGGUAGCGCCCUUCGGGGCGUCUUAUAGCCGGGGGUGCCAUGUGGCCUGUCUGGACCGAGGAACGCGCUUUCGGGCUCGGACGCUGGCGUAAUGGUCGUAAGCGGCCCGUCUUGAAACACGGACCAAGGAGUCUAACAUCCACGCGAGUGUUCGGGUGUUCAAAACCCGUCCGCGCAGUGAAAGCGAACGGAGGUGGGAACCCCUUGGGGUGCACCAUCGACCGAUCCUGAUGUCUUCGGAUGGAUUUGAGUAGGAGCGUGGCUGUUGGGACCCGAAAGAUGGUGAACUAUGCCUGAAUAGGGCGAAGCCAGAGGAAACUCUGGUGGAGGCUCGCAGCGGUUCUGACGUGCAAAUCGAUCGUCAAAUUUGGGUAUAGGGGCGAAAGACUAAUCGAACCAUCUGGUAGCUGGUUCCUGC
rnacentral:misc_RNA from 1 species